rnacentral:misc_RNA from 1 species
GCCUUGUACAAAAGAUCUGCAACAAAUGGGAGACACCAGAAAUAUAAAACUGAAAACUAAAACAAAAAUGAAGCAUUAAAUGGGGAAUAUAAUGGAUGGCAGGUAAUAGAGUAAUUAACCACUGUUGGAGCUCAAGGGAAUAUUUCAAAUUUAUUUGCAUUUCAAAUUUAUAAUUAGUUCUAGGAGUAUGGAUGGCAAAAGUUCCCAAACUCGACCUGAUUCAUCCCCAAGCGAAUCCCCGUAACCCACCCCUUACAAUAACAUACUACUGUUUUAUUAAAAACUAAUUUAUUUUUAUGUAUUUAU